rnacentral:rRNA from 1 species
GAUGAACGCUAGCGGCAGGCUUAACACAUGCAAGUCGAGGGGUAGAGGAAGCUUGCUUCCUUGAGACCGGCGCACGGGUGCGUAACGCGUAUACAAUCUACCUUUUACAGAGGGAUAGCCCAGAGAAAUUUGGAUUAAUACCUCAUAGUAUUUUCGGAUCGCAUGAUUUGAUUAUUAAAGUUCCAACGGUAAAGAUGAGUAUGCGUCCCAUUAGCUAGAUGGUAAGGUAACGGCUUACCAUGGCAAUGAUGGGUAGGGGUCCUGAGAGGGAGAUCCCCCACACUGGUACUGAGACACGGACCAGACUCCUACGGGAGGCAGCAGUGGGGAAUUUUGGACAAUGGGCGUAAGCCUGAUCCAGCAAUGCCGCGUGCAGGACGAAGGCCUUCGGUUGUAAAC